GUCUGCAGCACGCGCCUA
rnacentral:snRNA from 1 species